GUGCUCGCUUCUGCAGCAUAUAUACUAAACUGGAACGGUACAGUGAAGAUUAGCAUGGCCCCUGCGCAAGGAUGACAUGCAAACUCUGGCCUUGAGAACUGGAGCU